AACGAACGCUGGCGGCAUGCCUAACACAUGCAAGUCGAACGAGACCUUCGGGUCUAGUGGCGCACGGGUGCGUAACGCGUGGGAACCUGCCCUUAGGUUCGGAAUAACUCCCCGAAAGGGGUGCUAAUACCGGAUAAUGUCUUCGGACCAAAGAUUUAUCGCCUUUGGUUGGGCCCGCGUUGGAUUAGCUAGUUGGUAGGGUAAAAGCCUACUAAGGCGACGAUUCAUAGCUGGUUUGAGAGGAAGAUCAGCCACACUGGGACUGAGACGCGGCCGAGACUCCUACGGGAGGCAGCAGUGGGGAAUGUUGGACCAUGGGCGAAAGGCUGAUCCAGCAAUGCCGCGUGAGUGAUGAAGGCCUUAGGGUUGUAAAGCUCUUGUACCCGGGAUGAUAAUGACAGUACCGGGAGAAUAAGCUCCGGCUAACUCCGUG
rnacentral:rRNA from 1 species